GAUGAACGCUGGCGGCGUGCCUAAUACAUGCCAGUCGAGCGAACAGAUGAGGAGCUUGCUCCUCUGACGUUAGCGGCGGACGGGUGAGUAACACGUGGAUAACCUACCUAUAAGACUGGGAUAACUUCGGGAAACCGGAGCUAAUACCGGAUAAUAUAUUGAACCGCAUGGUUCAAUAGUGAAAGACGGUUUUGCUGUCACUUAUAGAUGGAUCCGCGCCGCAUUAGCUAGUUGGUAAGGUAACGGCUUACCAAGGCAACGAUGCGUAGCCGACCUGAGAGGGUGAACGGCCACACUGGAACUGAGACACGGUCCAGACUCCUACGGGAGGCAGCAGUAGGGAAUCUUCCGCAAUGGGCGAAAGCCUGACGGAGCAACGCCGCGUGAGUGAUGAAGGUCUUCGGAUCGUAAAACUCUGUUAUUAGGGAAGAACAAAUGUGUAAGUAACUAUGCACGUCUUGACGGUACCUAAUCAGAAAGCCACGGCUAACUACGUG
rnacentral:rRNA from 1 species